CCCUUAGAUGUCCUGGGCCGCACGCGCGCUACACUGAACGGAUCAGCGCGUUUUCCCUUCCCGAGAGGGACGGGUAACCUGCUGAACCCCGUUCGUGGUAGGGAUCGGGGCUUGCAAUUAUUCCCCGUGAACCGGGAAUGCCCAGUAAGUGCAAGUCAUAAGCUUGCGUUGAUUACGUCCCUGCCCUUUGUACACACCGCCCGUCGCUACUACCGAUUGAACGUUUUAGUGAGGUACUCGGACUGAGCCUCAGAAGAUUCACGUCUUUUGUGCUGCUCGGGAAGAUUCCCAAACUUGAGCGUUUAGAGGAAGUAAAAGUCGUAACA
rnacentral:rRNA from 1 species